rnacentral:rRNA from 1 species
GAUGAACGCUAGCGGCAGGCUUAAUACAUGCAAGUCGAGGGGCAGCAUGAGUAGCAAUACUUGAUGGCGACCGGCAAACGGGUGCGGAACACGUACACAACCUUCCUUUAAGUGGGGAAUAGCCCAGAGAAAUUUGGAUUAAUACCCCGUAACAUAUAGAUGUGGCAUCACAAUUAUAUUAUAGGUUUACCGCUUAAAGAUGGGUGUGCGGCUGAUUAGAUAGUUGGCGGGGUAAUGGCCCACCAAGUCUACGAUCAGUAGCUGAUGUGAGAGCAUGAUCAGCCACACGGGCACUGAGACACGGGCCCGACUCCUACGGGAGGCAGCAGUAAGGAAUAUUGGACAAUGGACGCAAGUCUGAUCCAGCCAUGCCGCGUGAAGGAUUAAGGUCCUCUGGAUUGUAAACUUCUUUAUAUGGGACGAAAAAAGGGCAUUCUUGCUCACUUGACGGUACCAUAUGAAUAAGCACCGGCUAACUCCGUGCCAG